CCUACGGGGGGCAGCAGUAGGGAAUCUUCCACAAUGGGCGAAAGUCUGAUGCAGUAACGCCGCGUGGGUGAAGAAGGUCUUCGGAUCGUAAAACCCUGUUGUUAGAGAAGAAAGUGCGUGUGAGUAACUGUUCACGUUUCGACGGUAUCUAACCAGAAAGCCCCGGCUAACUACGUGCCAGCAGCCGCGGUAAUAUGUAGGGGGCAAGCGUUAUCCGGAUUUAUGGGGCGUAAGGGGAACGCAGACGGUCUUUUAAGUCUGAUGUGAAAGCCUUCGGCUUAACCGGUGUAGUGCAUUGGAAACUGGGAGACUUGAGUGCAGAAGAGGAGAGUGGAACUCCAUGUGUAGCGGUGAAAUGCGUAGAUAUAUGGAAGAACACCAGUGGCGAAGGCGACUCUCUGGACUGUAACUGACAUUGAUGCUCGAAAGUGUGGGUAUCAAACAGGAUUAGAUACCCCUGUAGUC
rnacentral:rRNA from 1 species